ensembl:lncRNA
CCUGCCUAUAACUUUAGGUCAGAUUUGAGUUGACCAGCAGAUAUCUCCUCGGGAACAUCCCUUAAAGGAACUGUGCAAGUAUUUUAAGCCCAGCAGCUUUGGACAACAGCACACUAAAUUAGAUGAAGUUUUAGAGGAAGGUUUGAGAAUUAAGAAGCCGUGAACAGCUCCCAUUUUGCCUACUGGUAGGAAGCACUGAGGGAUCCAACACUUAUACAGGUAAAAAAUACAACUGAUGCACAUUUUAUUGAUAUAUUUGUGUGUUUGAGAUCUUAAAUCCUAAACCGGCAAGCAUUACAUGUGUAGGAACACACCAUGUAAGUCUCCCCUAGGGCAAGGCUGUCUUUUAAGGCUCACUAAGAGGAUCCAUCGCUAAACAUAGGGGGAUUUUUUGUUCCUCUGUUUGAGGGCUGAGGUGAACUACACCGAGGGACGUGCUGGUUGAUCUGAGGUGCUUCAGUUUCAGCUCUAGGAUGCCUGUUUCUCAGCACUUCGUUCUGUUUUCCCUAGCUCUUCUUUCUUUCUCCUAUCAUGUGCAUGUUUCCCUGUGCACACGCAGGGACACACAGGUGCAGCCUGCGGCGGCUCAGCUGAUGCUUACUCCAUUUACAGAGAACUGAGCCUUUGAUUUUCCACUCAUCUGCUCUCACAGCGGAACAGAUCUCUAAAAUAAAGUAGGAUCUUAGAAAAAGCUGAAACAAAAGCUUUCCACCUAGGCAUAGGGAAACCUUAUGUAACUCCUUACGUAAUGGGAUGUGGAGUACUUUCUCACGAUUAACUUCAGAGUCGCUCAGGCUCCCCUGGCUCCCAUCACCUGCCUCGUUUCCUCCCGGCUCUGGCGGGGAGAAAAGGGGCUUCCCAGCCCGAGCCCCGAGGGCAGUGCACCUCGGCUGCUAUUUCUGAAAGCUGCUCCUCCGAUUUAUUGCCGUACGAGGAGAUAAAACAGGAGGGGAACGGCGCUUUCUUUUUACUCAGUCUCCUUUCCUAAAACACCUUACAAAAGCAGUAAGAGGAAGGGGCGCUGGGAAGCUCCCUGCUCUCUGGUCUACACCAGACGCGCACAGCCGUUAUUUCCUCCUCGCGCAACCCACGUGCGGUUCGUUCUGGGGCCCAGCACGGCGCUUCAGCACGAGCCGUGCUUUCCCGUUGCCGCCGUGCAGGGACGGCCGCGGCCCCGGGCCCUUCCCUCGUGACCCCGUCCGCUCUGCGAGACUAUUCCGAUAGUCGCUGAGGCACUCCACUCUCGCCGCGGCACGGCUACUGCGUGCCUCCCGCCGCCCGUUCACGCGCCGCACGGCUCUCCCGCGGCCCGGUCCCGGGUGCACGCACGGCAACGCUGACCGGCUAUGCCACGG